GAGUUUGAUCCUGGCUCAGGAUGAACGCUAGCGGCAGGCCUAAUACAUGCAAGUCGAACGGGUUCUGGUAGCAAUACCAGAAUCAGUGGCGCACGGGUGCGUAACGCGUAUGCAACUUACCUUUAACUGGGGGAUAGCCCGUCGAAAGACGGAUUAAUACCGCAUAAGAUCACACGAGGGCAUCUGAGAGUGAUUAAAGAUUUAUUGGUUAAAGAUGGGCAUGCGUGCCAUUAGCUAGUUGGUAGGGUAACGGCCUACCAAGGCUACGAUGGCUAGGGGUUCUGAGAGGAUGAUCCCCCACACUGGCACUGAGAUACGGGCCAGACUCCUACGGGAGGCAGCAGUAGGGAAUAUUGGGCAAUGGCCGAGAGGCUGACCCAGCCAUGCCGCGUGCAGGAAGAAGGCCUUCUGGGUUGUAAACUGCUUUUAUCUGGGAAGAAAACGCUCCUGCGGGGGUAACUGACGGUACCAGAUGAAUAAGCACCGGCUAACUCCGUGCCAGCAGCCGCGGUAAUACGGAGGGUGCAAGCGUUGUCCGGAUUUAUUGGGUUUAAAGGGUGCGUAGGCGGCCCUGUAAGUCAGCGGUGAAAUCCCAGGGCUCAACCCUGGAACUGCCGUUGAUACUGCAGGGCUUGAGUUCGGUUAAGGCGGGCGGAACUGGUGGUGUAGCGGUGAAAUGCAUAGAUACCACCAAGAACCCCGAUUGCGUAGGCAGCUCGCUGAGCCGAAACUGACGCUGAGGCACGAAAGCGUGGGGAGCGAACAGGAUUAGAUACCCUGGUAGUCCACGCCGUAAACGA
rnacentral:rRNA from 1 species